GAGUUCUAUUAUUUGCGUGAUGCAAAGGGGCGUAAAGAAUCUCACCCACUACAAAGUAUCUUAAUUUUAAAUAUUAUUUGAUGAUUUCUAAAAAAAUAUAUAUUAUUUGAUGUAUAAUCAAACAAAAAAAAAAGAGUUGAUUAUAUGGAUUUUUCUUGCUUUUUUUAAUGUAUUAAAGGGGAAGAAAAAGGAGAACGAGACCUUAAGCAAAAAGAAAAAGUAGGGCCCACAUUUUGGACUUGUUUGAUUAUCAUGAUAUUUUCAUAACUAGAGGAAGACAUUUAUUGUGCCUGUUCUUCUUGGUGGAUGGUUAAUAUGACCCCAUAUGUCCUUUCCGUUGAAACUUGUGUUGUGGAUCUACUCCAAUAAUUUGAUCAAGAAAAUGAUGAAGAUGAAGUGUGCACAUAUAUUCUAAAUAUUGUUGUAUAUCUUGAUUGUUGAAAAGAAGUUGCUGCACUUGAAACCUGAAAAGUUUAAUGGUUAUGUAUGUAAAACUCAAAGCGCAUGGGGUUGUCACACUAACAUUUAGGUUCGAUUCGCCCCCACCAAUUUUAUUGGAUGCAAUAAGGAAUGACCGACGAAUCCUCUUCACGAUACUAUGAAUUCCUUCACGUGUAUUGCACAACCACACCAAAUAUAUCUCUUAACACUAUUUUACAGAUUUAUGAUUCCAGCAAUUCACUCAUGCAUUAGAGAGUUGAUGGAUGAUUUAGAGUAAGAGAAUGAGGGAGAAUUAUGUUGGUAAUGGAACAAAAUUGUGUGUUAUAGUGUGUCCAAUUGAUUCUGAUUCUCUGUGUGUGUUAGUAGUGUCUAUGUAGAUGAGUAUUUGCAUUAACAAACUUUUUUUUUAACUAAACACGCAUACUUAAUAACUUCAAUAAUAUUCGUGAUAAAAUUUCAACAAAAUAUAAAAACUAUAAUAUAGAAGAUGAAAUUAUAAUUUCUCAUUUAUUCAUAUAAUUAUAUUAUGAAAUACAUUAUGCUCACAAGAGCAAAAAGCAUUACCACCAUCUUCAAAGAAGCUUCCAUUUCAACUCGACUUUCUUGACAAAUAAAAUCAAAGAUGCUAUUAACUUGUUAUCAUAUGCUAGACUAGUGAGGUGUGCUUAUUUAUGCAAUUUUGAAAAUGUUGAUAAGUACAAUUAUUUCCAUUUAUUACGUGCAAAUCUUAGAAUCAUGUUUUUUUUUUAAAUUUUAAUUUACUUUUUAUUCUUUGUAUAACUCUUUUUUUAAUAAAAAAUUGGUUCAAAUAAAUGGGAAAAAAUAUUUCUUAUUAAUUUUUUUAUAUAAAAGUAUUUCUAAUGUAUUUUUAAAGUAAAAGUAAUUCUAAAGAUAUUGGUAAAAAAAAAAAAACUAGUUGUAAGAAUCUUUUUACUUAUAGAUAAAGAAAAACAUGAUAUUGGUCACAAUUCGAUUGAAUUCAUAAAUGAUUUUACUAUCUCUGUCAUACCCCAAUUUUUGACCAAAGAUCUUGCAUUUAUUCCCUUUUCUCACUUUAUUUUAUUUUAUUAUUUAUUAGUCUUUUAGUUUUAUCUUACCUUUUAUUUUCCAUCUUUUAGUUUUGUUUUAAUUUGUUUUUAUUUCGUAUUAGAUUUAUUUUAUUUUUCAUUUCUUUUUAAUUAAUUAGUGUCGAAAAAAAUCAAAGCUUAUUUUAAAUUUAUUUAAUCAUACCUUGAGUCUAUCUUCUUUUAAAUUAAAAAAUACAAACAAGCUUAUUUUGCCAUUUGUCUUUUCACUUUAAAACCUUUUUCAAAACUCAUAAAAAAAACAAAACCAAUCAAACUUCAAUUUUUACACCGAACUACGAAGUUUUGAUCCCUCACAUGUACGUAGACAAAGGACUUGUCCUUCUAAAUCAACUAAAAUCAAUUUUCUUUUUCUUUUUUUUAAUGUAUUAAAGGGUAAGAAAAAGGAGAACGAGACCUUAAGCAAAAAGAAAAAGUAGGGCCCACAUUUUGGACUUGUUUGAUUAUCAUGAUACUUUCAUAACUAGAGGAAGACAUUUAUUUUGCGUGUUCUUCUUGGUGGAUGGUUAAUAUGACCCCAUAUGUCCUUUCCGUUGAAACUUGUGUUGUGGAUCUACUCCAAUAAUUUGAUCAAGAAAAUGAUGAAGAUGA
rnacentral:lncRNA from 1 species